GCGCCGGUGGUGUAAGGCGAACAUCGCUGCCCGGAAAGCAGAAGAUGCGGGUUCGAGUCCCGCCGCA
rnacentral:tRNA from 1 species